CGGUUUAUUUAAGCGACGCACUUGGGGAUCGCGGCUCCAGAUCAAUGCAACAUAGCGUGAGUUUGCGAUCUCUUCAAGUAUAAAGCUCAAUACAUUUUAAAAGACCCGAAGAGACUAUACAAGUGGGUUCAUGGCCGCUGCAGUGAGUGCACAGACAGACAGAGGUAGGCAGAGCAGAUAGAGAGGAGGACACACCCACACGCGCAGUUUAUUUUCACAUGUCGGCUCUCUGUCAUAGGGCGGCAAUUUUCUUUAGCUAAUUUAGGAUUAGAUAACACAGGUUAUUUUACACACAAACGAGUGUCAGACACCGUUUUAGUAGUGUACAGAAGUGCAUGUUUGCUACUUUAGUGAAUAGGAUGCUCGUAUUCUCCUGCCGACCCGGUGCUGUUUGACACUUUUCCCCCUCCGAGCUGGAUUCACUAACCGGUGUGUUUUCUUACCGGGGGGAAGUUCGGCUCAUUUGAACUUUUCUGGCCGUAGCCUACUUUUGCCACGGAAAUGGGACCGCGCCAACGGGAGAGCGUGUCCGCGCUUUGUAGUAAAAGUUUGCUUUGGACUGUGCUGAUACUCUGGCUGACCAUGUUUGUUGACGGGACCUGGAAGACGGGACAGCAGUCUCUCACUCCUCAGUCUAUCAGAAAAGGCUACUCUGGUUCUUUCGGUUUUUCCUUGAAGCUCCAGAUUAUUAUGACUCCAGGAAUGUCGUAUUCCCUCUCUCAUCAUUAAUGUUGCUGUACGCCUUGAGAUUGCUUUUAGCUUUGAAAGGUGUGUGCGCACGUGUGUGUGUGAGUCAGCUGCGAAGCCCCGCCCUUCGCAAAACGGAGCGCAGCGCCCCUCCAAGACAAUGGUAGGGGAAACACUGAUGUCUAUGGAGUGGGCAAUUACAGAGAGGUUAACCCCGCUCCUUUCACAAUCAUCACUUUCCCAUUCCUGUUCGCUGUGAUGUUUGGGGAUCUGGGUCACGGAGCUAUCAUGGCUGCAUUUGCUCUCUGGAUGGUGCUGUACGAGAACAACCGCAAACUUAAAAACACCAGGAAUGAG